UACGUAGGGUGCAGGCGUUAAUCGGAAUUACUGGGCGUAAAGCGUGCGCAGGCGGUCUUUUAAGUCAGAUGUGAAAUCCCCGGGCUUAACCUGGGAACUGCGUUUGAAACUGGAAGGCUAGAGUGUGGCAGAGGGGGGUGGAAUUCCACGUGUAGCAGUGAAAUGCGUAGAGAUGUGGAGGAACACCGAUGGCGAAGGCAGCCCCCUGGGCUAACACUGACGCUCAUGCACGAAAUCGUGGGGAGCAAACAGG
rnacentral:rRNA from 1 species